ACUUGGAUAACCGUGGUAAUUCUAGAGCUAAUACAUGCUAAAAAUCCCGACUUCGGAAGGGAUGUAUUUAUUAGAUUAAAAACCAAUGCCCUUCGGGGCUCACUGGUGAUUCAUGAUAACUCCUCGAAUCGCAUGGCCUUGUGCCGGCGAUGGUUCAUUCAAAUUUCUUCCCUAUCAACUUUCGAUGUUUGGGUAUUGGCCAAACAUGGUUGCAACGGGUAACGGAGGGUUAGGGCUCGACCCCGGAGAAGGAGCCUGAGAAACGGCUACUACAUCCAAGGAAGGCAGCAGGCGCGCAAAUUACCCAAUCCCGACACGGGGAGGUAGUGACAAUAAAUACUGAUACAGGGCUCUUUUGGGUCUUGUAAUUGGAAUGAGUACAAUUUAAAUCCCUUAACGAGGAACAAUUGGAGGGCAAGUCUGGUGCCAGCA
rnacentral:rRNA from 1 species